UUUGGAGAUUCAUUACAAAACUGUUUUCUGUACGUUACAUUUCAAGAAGGUUAUAUAUUAAAAAUGUCCAAACGGCCAUAUUUUUCACAAUAUGAAAGUCCGAAUAUUGUUAUCGUGCCUACAGUUUCAUUUUGUGGUGCAUCAGCGAAGAAAAAUGAAAUUAUCUCUCCAUGUUGACGAAGUACAACCCAAAAAUGGCCGGACAUUGGAAAAAGGCACCUGCAGCUCAAGUACAUUGGAAAAUAAUUGUUCAUCGAGUAAGAAUACAAAUAGCUCAAACAUUAGUAUGGCGACAAAUAACAAUAUAAACAUCAUCCACGUAAAUCCUAUAAAGCUUAACCGACUAACACAAGAUAGCAAGCCCAGUGACAAAAUAUCGAAGUUGUCCGAAAGCAAUGAAAAGUCUUCAAUGCGUGAAAAAAAUAAUAAACAAAAUAAUCUAGUUGAAAAAGAAAACAAAAAACAUAUUUCGCAAUCCUCCAUUGAGGUAGAAAUAAAUUUAGAUUCAAAAGCACAUAAGGAUAUUGCAAACACCAAAAAAAAUUCGCUCAAAACCAUAAACAAAAACUCGGGUAAUUCUACAAAUAAAAGAAAUGCAAUAACGAGGGGACUCGUCUAAAAAGUGCUGAGAAUAUUUCAUCCUCGCAUAAAGACAAAAAACACAGCAAGCCUGAUAAAAUUAGUGCUCACAAAAGGUCACACGUUUCACUUCACAUUACUAAAGAAAUAUCCGAAAAAUGUGAUAAAAAUACGGAUUCUAAAAUAAGUAAGAAUAGACAUAAACAGUCCGACAAACUUAUAAAACAAGAUAGUCAUGAUCAAUGUAGGGCAGAACAACAAAAAUGUAAAAAAUCAUGUCAAGAUAAAAUUCCCCAUAAAUCGAGAAGUGAAAAAUGGACCUUGGUAAGACAAUAUUAAUGGACGACAUUAAUAUUAAUUACGGCUCCAAUAGAAAUGAACCAAAGCAGCAGGGUUGCAAAAAAGAUCAUGCAAGUAAAUGCAAACAUAUAAUUGAAAGACACAGUGAUAAAAAAGUUAAGCAUCAUUCGAUAUCUAAAAGCAAACACACAUGUAAAACUAAAAGUACUUUAACUAACCAGGAAAAGUGCAAAAUACAAAAAGCAAGCGAGGCAACCAAAUAUAACAC